rnacentral:rRNA from 1 species
UGCGAAUAAGUCACGGCUAACUACGUGCCAGCAGCCGCGGUAAUACGUAGGUGACGAGCGUUAUCCGGAAUUACUGGGCGUAAAGCGCACGCAGGCGGCUGAAUAAGUCUGACGUGAAAUCUCUCGGCUUAACCGGGAGGGGUCGUUGGAGACUGUUUGGCUUGAGGCGAUGAGAGGGGUGUAGAAUUCCCGGUGUAGUGGUGGAAUGCGUAGAUAUCGGGAGGAAUACCAGUGGCGAAAGCGGCACCCUGGCAUUAGCCUGACGCUCAUGUGCGAAAGCGUGGGGAGCAAACGGGAUUAGAUACCCCGGUAGUCCACGCUGUAAACGAUGAGUACUAGGUGUGGGUGGAGUGAAAUCUAUCUGUGCCGAAGCAAACGCGCUAAGUACUCCGCCUGGGGAGUACGGCCGCAAGGCUAAAACUCAAAGGAAUUGACGGG